rnacentral:rRNA from 1 species
UACGUAGGCAGCAAGCGUUGUUCGGAAUUACUGGGCGUAAAGAGUGUGUAGGCGGUGUUCUAAGUUUGUCGUGAAAUCUCCCGGCUCAACUGGGAGGGUGCGCUACAAACUGUCUGACUAGAGUGUGGGAUGGGAAAGUGGAAUUCCUGGUGUAGCGGUGAAAUGCGUAGAUAUCAGGAGGAACACCGGUGGUGUAGACGGCUUUCUGGACCAUAACUGACGCUGAGACACGAAAGCGUGGGUAGCAAACAGG